CUUGGCGACCAUAGCACUUUGGACCCACCUGAUUUCCAUUCCGAACUCAGAAGUUAAACGAAGUAGCGU
rnacentral:rRNA from 1 species